GACGUGCUCCAGCUUACAUCAGGGGUAAAUUGAUUGAGUUGGCCAAACAAGAGGUGCCUGCCAGCGUGUGAACUGGUCCAGAGUAGACAUGAAUGAGAGGUGUGCCUGAGCUGAGACACAACAACACAGGCUUAAACAGAAGGACUCGCUGUCCAUUUGACGACUUUCUAGAUAUCUUGUUCCUCCUGUGGUUACACCUCUGAUAAGUCCUCCUAGAUGAGAGACCUGAUGUAGCAACAUGGGUGACCUUUCUGUCCUUCGAGAAGGAAUGACUAAAACAAGAGAUCCAAGAAUGUACUGCUACAAGCACAGGUCUGCUGGACUUGACUCCUGCCAGUCACAAGAGCCAGCUGAUAAACUUCUGGAACCUUUGUGAGCUGGUUGGGAGGAGACAACAGAGACAACAGAGGAUGAGAUGGUUGGAUGGCAUCACCGACUCAAUGGACAUGAGUUUGAGUAAACUCCAGGAGUUGGUGAUGGACAGGGAGGCCUGGCAUGCUGCAGACCAUGGGGU
ensembl:lncRNA